AACGAACGCUGGCGGCAUGCCUAACACAUGCAAGUCGAACGAAGCCUUCGGGCUUAGUGGCGCACGGGUGCGUAACACGUGGGAAUCUGCCCUUGGGUUCGGAAUAACAGUUAGAAAUGACUGCUAAUACCGAAUGAUGUCUUCGGACCAAAGAUUUAUCGCCCAAGGAUGAGCCCGCGUCGGAUUAGCUAGUUGGUGAGGUAAAGGCUCACCAAGGCGACGAUCCGUAGCUGGUCUGAGAGGAUGAUCAGCCACACUGGGACUGAGACACGGCCCAGACUCCUACGGGAGGCAGCAGUGGGGAAUAUUGGACAAUGGGCGAAAGCCUGAUCCAGCAAUGCCGCGUGAGUGAUGAAGGCCUUAGGGUUGUAAAGCUCUUUUACCCGGGAUGAUAAUGACAGUACCGGGAGAAUAAGCCCCGGCUAACUCCGUGCCAGCAGCCGCGGUAAU
rnacentral:rRNA from 1 species